rnacentral:rRNA from 1 species
UUUAGUUGAUCCUGGCUCAGGAUGAAUGCUGGCGGUGUGCCUUAAGCAUGCAAGUUGAACGGUAAAUUUCCUUCGGGAAAUACAAGUAGCAGACGGGUGAGUAAUACAUAGGAACUUACCUCUAAGUGGGGAAUAGCCAGUCGAAAGAUUGGGUAAUACCGCAUGUGAUCUCCGGAUCAAAGCCUUCGGGCGCUUAGAGAGAGGCCUAUGCCCUAUCAGGUAGUUGGUGAGGUAAUGGCUCACCAAGCCGAUGACGGGUAGCCGGUGUGAGAGCACGACCGGCCACAAGGUUACUGAGACACGGAACCUACACCUACGGGUGGCAGCAACUGGGAAUAUUGCGCAAUGGGCGAAAGCCUGACGCAGCGACACCGCGUGUGGGAAGAAGCUUUUCGGAGCGUAAACCACUGUGGCAGGGGAACAAUCAAUGAGGGUACCCUGCUAGAAAGCACCUGCUAACUACGUGCCAGAAGCCUCGGUAAUACGUAGGGUGCAAGCAUUAUCCGGAUUUACUGGGCGUAAAGCGUCCGUCGGCGUUUGAUUAAGUUUUGACUUUAAUACUGGAGCUCAACUCCAGAUACAGGUCGAAAUACUAAUCGAAUUGAGUUUACUAGGGGAAGCUGGAAUUCUCGGUGGAGGGGUGAAAUCCGU